CAGUCGAGCGAAGCACUCUGCUUUGAUUCUUUCGGGAUGAAGAGCAUUGUGACUGAGCGGCGGACGGGUGAGUAACGCGUGGGUAACCUGCCUCAUACAGGGGGAUAACAGUUAGAAAUGGCUGCUAAUACCGCAUAAGACCACAGCACCGCAUGGUGCAGGGGUAAAAACUCCGGUGGUAUGAGAUGGACCCGCGUCUGAUUAGCUAGUUGGUGGGGUAACGGCCUACCAAGGCGACGAUCAGUAGCCGACCUGAGAGGGUGACCGGCCACAUUGGGACUGAGACACGGCCCAAACUCCUACGGGAGGCAGCAGUGGGGAAUAUUGCACAAUGGGGGAAACCCUGAUGCAGCGACGCCGCGUGAGCGAAGAAGUAUUUCGGUAUGUAAAGCUCUAUCAGCAGGGAAGAAAAUGACGGUACCUGACUAAGUAGCCCCGGCUAACUACGUGCCAGCAGCCGCGGUAAUACGUAGGGGGCAAGCGUUAUCCGGAUUUACUGGGUGUAAAGGGAGCGUAGACGGCGAGGCAAGUCUGAUGUGAAAACCCGGGGCUCAACCCCGUGACUGCAUUGGAAACUGUUUUGCUUGAGUGCCGGAGAGGUAAGCGGAAUUCCUAGUGUAGCGGUGAAAUGCGUAGAUAUUAGGAGGAACACCAGUGGCGAAGGCGGCUUACUGGACGGCAACUGACGUUGAGGCUCGAAAGCGUGGGGAGCAAACA
rnacentral:rRNA from 1 species